rnacentral:lncRNA from 1 species
GGCGACGCUGGUAUUGCGUAGCUUCUUGCUAGAGGACCGUGUAUGUAUCGACAAGAGAGGCCCAGAGCCGCAUUUCGGGCGAUUUUCGCUGUCGGUGCCACAAACCUUACCGAUGUCUGAAUGGAGUUUACCGAGAGAGGCGACGCUGCAGAUUCACAAGAAGCACAGGAGCAACCAAUGGCAGUUUAUUUAAGGAACAUUUCAAGUUGUCCCACCACCACCAAUUUGAUGGAAAUUUGUGGAAUAAGGUUACAAAACUUGGAGGGUGCUAGUCCCUGCAAUUGUACCUGUCAAGCUGGAGCCAUCCCCUCAACAAUGCCCAAGCGAGGGAUGGCGUCCAAUGCUGCACCUCGCACACUGCAACACCACAGCUACCCCCGAGGGCACAAGGAAAGGCAGGCGACCUCGUGAAUGUGGCUACUGUGGGAAGCUAUUCUGGCAGAAGAGCGACAUUGACAAACACCUGCGUGUCCACACCGGCGAGAAGCCAUACUCUUGCCACCUUUGUCCCAUGACGUGUGCGCAGAAAGAGGGCCUCAAGCGCCACUUACAAGUGCACGCAAAUGAUAGGCCAUAUCAGUGUCGCUUCUGCCAAAAACGAUUCACUAGCAUCAGGUACCAAAAGAGGCAUGAAGCGGUGCAUGUGCGUUUGGCUGCUCUCAAUUAAAGAGUCGCUGAAUUAUUUUUAGCGGGUUCGUACAACGAGCCUUAGGUCAUCCACCCGCCAAAUGUCAAAAACUGACAUGACACCUAAACAAUAAGAAUUUGCAGGCAUUGUUUGUGUGGCUAACAGUGAACAAAAUUGUUUACUUCAUAUCUUUAAGUUAAUACUUUUCUAAACAAUUUUUAUUUUUUAAAAGAGGAUUGCCCUAUAUCAUAAGUGCUCUAGUUUUGGAAUUACAUGAUGGCAGCUGGGGAUCGAGAUGUACUCGGAAAGUAUAAAUCUAAUUAAUUUAAUUGGUUCAUGCAUUGAUGCUUGCACCGACAAAAUACUGCGGUUGUUCAGAAGGCAAUUCUGGCUCGAUAUAUUAGGCAUUUACUAGAUAUAUUGUAGCACAGAAUAAGGGUGUUUUGCUCAAGAUUUAAGGGUGGAACAUUAGUCUGUGUGGCUCUGUGAACACUAAGACUCACAAAACUGUGUAUUCUUUUUAUGUGAUGUCCUUUGGGCCUCAACACCAUGAGCACAAGUAACCUUAGUAGGACCUAUUGUUGAUGCAACGUUGCCGCAAUGUUGCGAAUGUUGUCUCUGCAUUGCAAACAUUGCUUUAACGUUAUGGCAACAGUGCGUGCUACCAAAGUGAACUUUUCAGUGGACAACACAUAAGUCGUGAGAUAUAACAACCUCCCUGUGUGAGGCAAUCAGUUUGCAUGACUCAUUUGUAAAACAUUGUUCUCCUGCAUGCAUACUGUUAUGGUCAGUUAUGGCACAAUAAAAAAACAACAACCAAAGGCAUAGCUUUCUUGAUGCCACUUAGAUAUAUGCUAUGUGAAGCUGUAUAAAGCUGAUGUAGCCCUCACCUCUGUUAACUCAAUAACAACAGAGGUGAGGCUGUUGUUAAUCAAUACAGUCAACUGAGAAGAAAAACAAGAAGA